rnacentral:rRNA from 1 species
CCUACGGGAGGCUGCAGUAGGGAAUCUUUCACAAUGGGCGAAAGCCUGAUGGAGCAACGCCGCGUGCAGGAUGAAGGCCUUCGGGUUGUAAACUGCUUUUAUAAGCGAGAAAUAUGAUGGUAACUUAUGAAUAAGGAUCGGCUAACUACGUGCCAGCAGCCGCGGUCAUACGUAGGAUCCGAGCAUUAUCCGGAGUGACUGGGUGUAAAGAGUUGCGUACGUGGCAUAAUAAGUAGCUAGUGAAAUCUGGUGGCUCAACCAUUCAGACUAUUAGAUAAACUGUUAAGCUCGAGACCGUUAGGGGUAACUGGAAUUUCUAGUGUAGGAGUGAAAUCCGUAGAUAUUAGAAGGAACACCAAUAGCGUAGGCAGGUUGCUGGUACGGUUCUGACACUAAGGCACGAAAGCGUAGGGAGCAAACGGGAUUAGAUACCCGUGUAGUC